CACCAAGAUCUUUAUCUUUUUUCAUCAGAUCCACCAGAACUUUAACAGCUCCCGGUCGAAAGUCAAUAUCUCCGUCCAAUGUAAGAAUGAUAUUUUUCGAGUGAACUUUUGAAACUUUACAAUUCGAAAUUUUUCACUAAUAAAAGUUUAAUAAUGAACUACCAAGUUAGUUUUUCCCGGCAAAGUCCACACAAGACGACCCCCGUAAGGUGUCGGAUAUUUAGUAGGCGGUGAAGAACGCAUAC